CAAGGCAUGAAGUCAGGCCGGAGAACCCGCUGAAUUUAAGCAUAUAAGUAAGCGGAGGAGAAGAAACUAAACAGGAUCCCCCUAGUAAUGGCGAAUGAACAGGGAAUAGCUCGGCAUGGAAACUGGGGCUGCUCUAGCCUCGGGUUGUAGCUUCAAGAUGCAUGUCCAACUGCGGUGCAAGUGAAAGCCUCUUGGGAAAGAGCACCAAUGUGGGUGAGAGUCCUAUAUGUCACUUGUGAUCCGCUGUGUACGGUGUGCAUUCCCAGAGUCGCGUUCCUCGGAAUUGGAGCGCAAAUGUGGUGGUAAAUUUCAUCUAAAGCUAAAUAUAAGCUUGAGACCGAUAGAAAACAAGUACCAUGAGGGAAAGGUGAAAAGGACUUUGAAAAGAGAGUUAAAAGUACAUGAACUCGCUGAAAGGGAAGCGAAUGGAAUCAGAUCUCUUGCUGAGAUUACUAUUGGUUCUUGCCCUGGCUCCUCCUGUUUUACGCAAGUGAACUGGUGGCGUCUGUGUGAGUGACCUUUGGUGCUUCUCAGCUUGAAUGUCAGCUGAUGUUUGACCCUGUGGACGAUCCUUGGGACAUGGCAGCUUGCUUGCGAGGAUGCGAAUGUGCCCGGUGAGACACAGAAUCAGGCAUGUUUUGUACUUGGUGUCAGCUCCUUUCUCAUGUUUGGACAGAGCAGUGCUGGCACAGUGUGUGGUGCACUGUCCUGCUCUGCGCUUCCUGCAUGAGGCGGUGUCGCUCCAAGGCAAGAUGGUGACUAAAUGGUUUCCUUCGACCCGUCUUGAAACACGGACCAAGGAGUCUAGCAUAUGUGCGAGUUCACGAGCAGUAAGCUUGCUUGCGUAAUGAAGGUGACUGCUGGGAUACUUGCACCAGCAACCAACCGACCGAUCGAGGGAAGUUUGAGUAUGAGCACAUGUGCUAGGACCCGAAAGAUGGUGAACUAUGCCUGUGAAGGGUAAAGACUGGAGAAAUUCAGUUGGAGGCUCGUAACGGUACUGACGUGCAAAUCGUUCGUCAUACAUGGGUAUAGGGGCGAAAGACUAAUCGAACCAUCUAGUAGCUGGUUCCC
rnacentral:rRNA from 1 species